AUACGGAGGGUGCAAGCGUUAAUCGGAAUUACUGGGCGUAAAGCGCUCGUAGGCGGUUUGUUAAGUCGGAUGUGAAAGCCCCGGGCUCAACCCGGGAAUGGCAUUCGAUACUGCAUAACUAGAGUAUGGUAGAGGGAAGUGGAAUUUCCGGUGUAGCGGUGAAAUGCGUAGAUAUCGGAAGGAACACCAGUGGCGAAGGCGACUUCCUGGGCCAAUACUGACGCUGAGGUGCGAAAGCGUGGGGAGCAAACAGGAUUAGAAACCCCAGUAGUCC
rnacentral:rRNA from 1 species